CAGAGAGGCUAAGAUUCAGCUAUUAUACAGCAGGCACUGGUGGUGCUGGUCCUACAAUGUUAGCUACUAGUUUUUUACUUCUUGGAGAGGAAGUUGUUGCAUCUAGUAAAGGAGAAAAGGUCAAACUGAAGCCGUAUAGUGGAAUGAUCAAUGUUGAUUUCGGAAAAUGAAUUAGAAGAAAAGACGUCUUUCUAUUGUAAGUUCAUAGGAAAGAAGUUGAUUUCAAAACUUGUGGGUAAAAUUUCUCAGAUGAUUUGAGAAACUUUACAGUUUUCAUAAAUUUAUGGGACGCUUUUAACCAAUUUCAAAACUAGCGCGACUUUUUUGUAUAUUAGUAAAAUUCAGGGUAAGUCAAGCAAUAUUCCUCACAGUUAUAUUCUGUGGACUAGUAAAAUCAUCCUGAAGUAUGGAUAAUAUUUUUUUUAAAUACCAUGAUAAAUUCUCAUGGCUAAAUUAGCAUAGAGAACUGAUC